AAACUCCUUCAAAUAAAUGUUAGUAAAGAUAGUUCGUCGUAUAUCAUAAUAUACGACGAACUAUCUUUACUAACAUUUAUUUAAAUGAAUUU